UAGGGAAUCUUCGGCAAUGGGGGGAACCCUGACCGAGCAACGCCGCGUGAGUGAAGAAGGUUUUCGGAUCGUAAAGCUCUGUUGUUAAGGAAGAACGAGUGUGAGAAUGGAAAGUUCAUACUGUGACGGUACUUAACCAGAAAGGGACGGCUAACUACGUGCCAGCAGCCGCGGUAAUACGUAGGUCCCGAGCGUUGUCCGGAUUUAUUGGGCGUAAAGCGAGCGCAGGCGGUUAGAUAAGUCUGAAGUUAAAGGCAGUGGCUCAACCAUUGUAGGCUUUGGAAACUGUUUAACUUGAGUGCAGAAGGGGAGAGUGGAAUUCCAUGUGUAGCGGUGAAAUGCGUAGAUAUAUGGAGGAACACCGGUGGCGAAAGCGGGUCUCUGGUCUGUAACUGACGCUGAGGCUCGAAAGCGUGGGGAGCGAACAGG
rnacentral:rRNA from 1 species